rnacentral:rRNA from 1 species
GAUGAACGCUGGCGGCGUGCCUAAUACAUGCAAGUCGAGCGAACGGACGAGAAGCUUGCUUUUCUGAUGUUAGCGGCGGACGGGUGAGUAACAUGUGGAUAACCUACCUAUAAGACUGGGAUCACCUCGGGAAAGCGGAGCUAAUAGCGGAUAAUCUUUUGCACCGCAUGGUUCGAAAGAGAAAGUCGGUCGUGCUGGCACUAAUAGAGGGAUACGGGCUGGUUUGGCUAGUUGGUAAGGUAACGGCUUAUUAAGGCUAGGAUGCAUAGCCGACGGGAGGGGGGGGUAGGCGGCACGAGAGGUGAGACAGCGUCCAGACGCCUACGGGAGGCAGCAGAAGGGAAUCGUCCGCAGAAGGCGAAAGCCUGACGGAGCGACGCCGCGUGAGAGAUAGGGGUCUCGGGAUCGGAAAGCUCUGUUAUUAGGGAAGAACAGAUGUGGAAGUAACUGUGGAGAGCUUGACGGUACCGAAUCAGAAAGCAACGGCUAACUACGUG